CAGUCGCCGCGGGAACACGUAGGGUGCGAGCGUUAAUCGGAAUUACUGGGCGUGAAGCGUGCGCAGGCGGUUCGUUAAGACAGAUGUGAAAUCCCCGGGCUCAACCUGGGACCUGCAUUUGUGACUGUAUAGCUAGAGUACGGUAGAGGGGGAUGGAAUUCCGCGUGUAGCAGUGAAAUGCGUAGAUAUGCGGAGGAACACCGAUGGCGAAGGCAAUCCCCUGGACCUGUACUGACGCUCAUGCACGAAAGCGUGGGGAGCAAACAGGAUUAGAUACCCCAGUAGUCCCUGUCUCUUAUAC
rnacentral:rRNA from 1 species